CAGUCGAACGGAAGGCCUCCAGCUUGCUGGGGGUACUCGAGUGGCGAACGGGUGAGUAACACGUGGGUGAUCUGCCCUGCACUUCGGGAUAAGCCUGGGAAACUGGGUCUAAUACCGGAUAGGACCCUCCUUUAGUGUGGGGGGUGGAAAGUUUUUUCGGUGCAGGAUGAGCCCGCGGCCUAUCAGCUUGUUGGUGGGGUAAUGGCCUACCAAGGCGUCGACGGGUAGCCGGCCUGAGAGGGUGGACGGCCACAUUGGGACUGAGAUACGGCCCAGACUCCUACGGGAGGCAGCAGUGGGGAAUAUUGCACAAUGGGCGCAAGCCUGAUGCAGCGACGCCGCGUGGGGGAUGACGGCCUUCGGGUUGUAAACCUCUUUCGACAGGGACGAAGCUUUUUGUGACGGUACCUGUAUAAGAAGCACCGGCUAACUACGUGCCAGCAGCCGCGGUAAUACGUAGGGUGCGAGCGUUGUCCGGAAUUACUGGGCGUAAAGAGCUCGUAGGUGGUUUGUCGCGUCGUCUGUGAAAUUCCGGGGCUUAACUCCGGGCGUGCAGGCGAUACGGGCAAUACUUGAGUGCUGUAGGGGAGACUGGAAUUCCUGGUGUAGCGGUGAAAUGCGCAGAUAUCAGGAGGAACACCAAUGGCGAAGGCAGGUCUCUGGGCAGUAACUGACGCUGAGGAGCGAAAGCAUGGGUAGCGAACAGGAUUAGAUACCCUGGUAGUCCAUGCCGUAAACGGUGGGCGCUAGGUGUAGGGGUCUUCCACGACUUCUGUGCCGUAGCUAACGCAUUAAGCGCCCCGCCUGGGGAGUACGGCCGCAAGGCUAAAACUCAAAGGAAUUGACGGGG
rnacentral:rRNA from 1 species